UUAACGCGAUAAGUACUCCGCCUGGUGACUACGUCCGCAAGGCUAAGACUCAAAGGAAUUGACGGGGGCCCGCACAAGCGUUGGAGCAUGUGGCUUAAUUCGAGGCAACGCGAAGAACCUUACCCGGGUUUGACAUAUAUCUGCCGUUCCGCGAAAUCGGAAUUUCUCUUCGGAGAUGGAUAUACAGGUGCUGCAUGGCUGUCGUCAGCUCGUGCCGUGAGGUGUUCGGUUAAGUCCGGCAACGAGCGCAACCCAUAUUGUCAGUUGCUACCAGGUUAUGCUGGGCACUCUGGCAAGACUGCCCGUGUCAAGCGGGAGGAAGGCGAGGACGACGUCAAGUCAGUAUGGCCCUUACACCCGGGGCUGCACACGUGCUACAAUGGGCGGUACAGAGGGCUGCCAGGCCGCGAGGCCGCGCGAAUCCCUAAACUCGUCCCCAGUUCGGAUCGGAGUCUGCAAUUCGACUCCGUGAAGUCGGAAUCGCUAGUAAAGGCGUAUCAGCAAUGACGCCUUGAAUACGUUCCCGGGCAUUGACACACCGCCCGUCACAUCAUGGAAGCCGGCUGCACCCGAAGCCC
rnacentral:rRNA from 1 species